rnacentral:tRNA from 1 species
GGUAUAGCUCAAGUGGUAGAGCGCAUACUUAGUACGUAGGCGGUCCUGGGUUCCAUCCCCUGUACC